UACGUAGGGGGCAAGCGUUGUCCGGAUUUAUUGGGCGUAAAGAGCGUGUAGGCGGCCAGACAGGUCAGCUGUGAAAACUCGAGGCUCAACCUCGAGACGCCGAUGGAAACCGUCUGGCUAGAGUCCGGAAGAGGAGAGUGGAAUUCCUGGUGUAGCGGUGAAAUGCGCAGAUAUCAGGAAGAACACCCGUGGCUAAGGCGGCUCUCUAGUACGGUACUGACGCUGAGACGCGAAAGCGUGGGGAGCGAACAGG
rnacentral:rRNA from 1 species